UCAGACGAUGCGUCAUGCAUAUCAAUAAGCGGAGGAAAAGAAACUAACAAGGAUUCCCCUAGUAACGGCGAGUGAAGCGGGAAGAGCUCAAAUCUGAAAUCUUAAAGGGUUUCCCUUUACGAAUUGUAGUUUAAAGAAGUGUUUUCUGUUGAGGUUUUGGUAAAAGUUCUUUGGAAUAGGACAUCAUAGAGGGUGAGAAUCCCGUAUUUGACCUUUACUUUCAACUUUGUGAUACACUUUCAAAGAGUCGGAUUGUUUGGGAAUGCAGUCCAAAAUGGGUGGUAAAUUUCAUCUAAAGCUAAAUAUUGGCGAGAGACCGAUAGCGAACAAGUACCGUGAGGGAAAGAUGAAAAGAACUUUGAAAAGAGAGUUAAACAGUACGUGAAAUUGUCAAAAGGGAAGCGUUUGACACCAGUGUUGUUUUUCUGAAAAUCAAUUAAAGAACUGUUUAUGCUAAGCUGUUUAGACUUUAUCAGCUAUCUGUUUAGUUUUGAGCUUUUCUUUAAUGCACUUUUCAGUUAACAAGUCAACAUCAAUUUCUUUUGCUGUAAAAAAGCUUGAGGAAGGUGGCUUGAGAUUCGUCUUAAGUGUUUAUAGCCUCUUGCCUAUGCAGUCGGAGAGAUUGAGGUCUGCAGCGUAGAUCCUUCGGGGCUAAAUGUAUUUGUGCUAAGUUAUAGCAUUUUAUAGACAACUUGUUAACUAUGAUUUGUCUUGUAGCUUACUCGCUUAUGUUAUUUUACCUACGCUUAGGAUGUUGAAUCUGUGCGAGACUAC
rnacentral:rRNA from 1 species